ACUGAAGCCUCCAAAAAACGAGCAAAUGCCAGUGGCGAUAACACCUGGCUACCGCUAUUGCCACAAGGUCAACCACCGUCUCUCUGCCUCGCUUUCCUCCUUCUCCACCGCCAUAAAGCCAAUGAUCACCAUCGCCAGCAGCUCCGGCGCUACCACCAAUGCAGGCGCAUACACCACAAUCAAAGAAACGGUGACAUUCAAGAAAGAAAUAAAAAAGAGCAAAUUCAUCGCCAUCGCUGGCCCCAUCUCCAGCGAACAAUCCGCUCACUCUUUCCUGAAUCAGGUCAAGGAUCCACGUGCCACUCACAAUUGUUGGGCUUACAAGGUCGGGGAUCAGUACCGGUCAUAUGAUGACGGUGAACCUUCUGGAACGGCGGGGAAGCCGAUUCAUUCUGCCAUUGUCUCUUCAGGUUUAGACAGAGUCAUGGUGGUCGUUAUUAGGUAUUUUGGAGGAAUUGAAUUGGGAACGGGAGGACUUGUUAGGGCUUAUGGCGGAGCGGCUUCGGAAUGCUUGAGAAAUGCUCCCACUUGUCUUGUAAAAUCCAAAGUUCCAAUGGGUGUGGAGGUUCCUUUUGAUCUUUUGGGAAUUCUAUACCAUCAAUUGAAAUCUUAUCAAGCCGAGGACACCAAACAGGAUUAUGAUACAGGCAAAGAUGGGAUCACCAUGGUUUCCUUCAAAGUUGAUUUUGAUCGGGCUGAGAAAUUAGAAGAGGCCAUCAAAGCCAAUUGUAGCAGAGAACUCGUGUUUUAUAAGCAUUGAAACUGACUUUGCUCUUUACCAUAAAGAUAUAGUUUGUCUACAAUUUUCCCUGCUAAUUUGGAGCAACAGAUGUAGCAUUGGAAACCAAUGAAAAAGAAGUUUAAAGCUUAAAUCCAUCUAUAUGUUGGAUCAUCCGGUUGAAUUCAAGCUUUGUAACGGCUCAUGACUGGAUUUUGGUAAGUUAAAAGGAAUGAUCAAACACCUGUUCUUUGUUCCCUUGUCUUGAAUGAUUUACCUCUUGACCUGUGAAAUGCCUGGAUUUCCAUAUUCUACUUUUGAGAACAGAGCUGGAAUUCAUUGUAUAAACAUCAAGACUUUCUCCACACACAGGAAGUCUAAGAGUUUUGUAGGGAAAUAAAUUGUUGAGUUUCAUUGUUCUGCUAGUGGCAUCUCCAUGAUCAUCCUAAUUGGGAAUGAUUUGAAUUAGCAAACAUUUUUUUUCUGCUGCUUCUAACAUGGAAUUCUCGUGCUUUGUCAAUAUUGAUUUAUAUC